rnacentral:rRNA from 1 species
AGCGAACACUGGCGGCAGGCCUAACACAUGCAAGUCGAACGAACUCUUCGGAGUUAGUGGCGGACGGGUGAGUAACACGUGGGAACGUGCCUUUAGGUUCGGAAUAACUCAGGGAAACUUGUGCUAAUACCGAAUGUGCCCUCCGGGGGAAAGAUUUAUCGCCUUUAGAGCGGCCCGCGUCUGAUUAGCUUGUUGGUGGGGUAAUGGCCCACCAAGGCGACGAUCAGUAGCUGGUCUGAGAGGAUGACCAGCCACAUUGGGACUGAGACACGGCCCAAACUCCUACGGGAGGCAGCAGUGGGGAAUCUUGCGCAAUGGGCGAAAGCCUGACGCAGCCAUGCCGCGUGGAUGAUGAAGGUCUUAGGAUUGUAAAAUCCUUUCACCGGUGAAGAUAAUGACUGUAGCCGGAGAAGAAGCCCCGGCUAACUUCGUGCCAGCCGCCGCCGUAAGAC